AAAGAGGAACCAUUCUUAGAUGGAAAUAAAGCUUCUUCAAAUCAACAUCUUCCUGGUGUACCAUGCAAGACAGAAGCAAAAGUUGAGACUCAUGACGCUCAUCCAAACUCCUCACAAAACAUUUCUGCUUUGUUGUUGAAUCAGUUUGGCGAAGGUGGGUCAGCAUCUAACCCAUCAGGAGACGCUGCUGGCGACGCUGGCAUCUCUGGGGCGUCCAACUCCAAGCAAAACAUAGAAAAAUCGUUCAAACAUUCAGCAGAAAAAUCUUUGCAGUGCUCCAAGUGUGAUGCUUGCACCACAAAAAGGAACUUGAAAAUUCAUUUGCUCUCAAAGCACUCAGAAGUAAAACCUUAUCAGUGCUCUGAGUGUGAUUAUGCUUGUACCACAAAUUUCCUCAUGAAAAGACAUUUUCUUAGGAAGCAUUCUACUGAAAAACCUCUACUGAAGUGCUCCGAGUGUGAUCAUGCUUGUACCAC